rnacentral:rRNA from 1 species
GGGCACGACACCGGAGAGGGAGCCUGAGAAACGGCUACCACAUCCAAGGAUGGCAGCAGGCGCGCAAAUUACCCAAUCCCGACACGGGGAGGUAGUGACAAUAAAUAACAAUACGGGGUUCUUUCGGAUUUCGUAAUUGGAAUGAGUACAAUUUAAAUCUCUUAACGAGGAACAAUUGGAGGGCAAGUCUGGUGCCAGCAGCCGCGGUAAUUCCAGCUCCAAUAGCGUAUAUUAAAGUUGUUGCAGUUAAAAAGCUCGUAGUUGAAUUUCGGGAUCAGCAAGUUGGUCGUGCCACUGGUAUGUACUGGCUUUGCUGAUUCCUCCUUCUUGUAGAACCGUAAUGCCAUUAAUUUGGUGUUGCGGGGAAACAGGACUGUUACUUUGAAAAAAUUAGAGUGUUUAAAGCAAGCUAACGCUUGAAUACAUUAGCAUGGAAUAAUGAAAUAGGACGAGCGAUCCUAUUUUGUUGGUUUCUAGGAUUGACGUAAUGAUUAAUAGGGAUAGUUGGGGGCAUUAGUAUUCAAUUGUCAGAGGUGAAAUUCUUGGAUUUAUUGAAGACUAACUACUGCGAAAGCAUUUGCCAAGGAUGUUUUCAUUAAUCAAGAACGAAAGUUAGGGGAUCGAAGACGAUCAGAUACCGUCGUAGUCUUAACCAUAAACUAUGCCGACUAGGGAUCGGAUGAUGUUAUUUAUAAUGACUCAUUUCGGCGCCUUACGGGAAACCCAAGUGUUUUGGGUUCA